rnacentral:rRNA from 1 species
CCUACGGGUGGCAGCAGUGAGGAAUAUUGGUCAUUGGCCGGAAGGCUGAACCAGCCAUGCCGCGUGAAGGUCAGUGCCCUAUGGGCGUUAAACUUCUUUUGUUCGGGAUCAAUAAUGGUCACGUGUGGCCAGACGCGAGUACCGUACGAAUAAGCAUCGGCUAACUCCGUGCCAGCAGCCGCGGUAAUACGGGGGAUGCAAGCGUUAUCCGGAUUUAUUGGGUUUAAAGGGUGCGUAGGCGGGACUGCAAGUCAGAUGUGAAAACCAUGGGCUCAACCUAUGGCCUGCAUUUGAAACUGUAGUUCUUGAGUACUGGAGAGGCAGACGGAAUUCCGAGUGUAGCGGUGAAAUGCGUAGAUAUUAGGAGGAACACCAGUGGCGAAGGCGGUCUGCUGGACAGCAACUGACGCUGAGGCGCGAAAGCGUGGGGAGCAAACAGGAUUAGAUACCCUUGUAGUC